AUUGAACGCUGGCGGCAGGCCUAACACAUGCAAGUCGAGCGGUAACAGAAAGUAGCUUGCUACUUUGCUGACGAGCGGCGGACGGGUGAGUAAUGCUUGGGAACAUGCCUUGAGGUGGGGGGCAACAGUUGGAAACGACUGCUAAUACCGCAUAAUGUCUACGGACCAAAGGGGGCUUCGGCUCUCGCCUUUAGAUUGGCCCAAGUGGGAUUAGCUAGUUGGUGAGGUAAUGGCUCACCAAGGCAACGAUCCCUAGCUGGUUUGAGAGGAUGAUCAGCCACACUGGGACUGAGACACGGCCCAGACUCCUACGGGAGGCAGCAGUGGGGAAUAUUGCACAAUGGGCGCAAGCCUGAUGCAGCCAUGCCGCGUGUGUGAAGAAGGCCUUCGGGUUGUAAAGCACUUUCAGUCAGGAGGAAAGGUUAGUAGUUAAUACCUGCUAGCUGUGACGUUACUGACAGAAGAAGCACCGCUAACU
rnacentral:rRNA from 1 species